rnacentral:tRNA from 1 species
GGGGUUAUAGCUCAGCAGUAGAGCACUUGCCUCACACACAUGAGGCACUGGGUUCGAUCCCCAGCACCA